rnacentral:rRNA from 1 species
UCGAGAAUCUUCCGCAAUGGGCGAAAGCCUGACGGAGCGACGCCGCGUGUAGGAUGAAGGCCCUCGGGUUGUAAACUACUGUCACGGGUUAUGAAUGUGCAUAUGUUAGCAGCGUGUGUAUUGACGUAAGCCCGAAAGGAAGCACCGGCUAACUCUGUGCCAGCAGCCGCGGUAAUACAGAGGGUGCAAACGUUGUUCGGAAUUACUGGGCAUAAAGCGCGCGUAGGCGGCGACGUAAGUGUAGGGUGAAAUCCCACGGCUCACCCGUGUGAAUUGCCCCGCAUACUGCGUUGCUUGAGUGUGGUAGGGGAGAGCGGAACUCCUGGUGGAGCGGUGAAAUGCGUAGAUAUCAGGAGGAACACCGGUGGCGUAGGCGGCUCUCUGGUCCAUAACUGACGCUGAAGUGCGAAAGCUAGGGUAGCGAACGGGAUUAGAUACCCAAGUAGUCCCUGAGCGGGCUGGCAAGGCGCAU